rnacentral:rRNA from 1 species
UGUGCAGGCGGUCGUUCAAGUUUGGUGUGAAAUCUCCCGGCUCAACCGGGAGGGUGCGCCGAAGACUGAAGGACUCGAGUGCGGGAGAGGAGAGUGGAAUUCCUGGUGUAGCGGUGAAAUGCGUAGAUAUCAGGAGGAACACCGGCGGUGUAAACGGCUCUCUGGACCGUGACUGACGCUGAGACACGAAAGCGUGGGGAGCAAACAGGAUUAGAUACCCUGGUAGUCCACGCCCUAAACGAUGCACAUUUGGUGCGGGUGAUUCAGUUCAUCCGUGCCGGAGCUAACGCGUUAAAUGUGCCACCUGGGGAGUACAGUCGCAAGGCUGAA